UCUGGAGAACAUCUGCACUGUGAAUCGAUGCACCUUACGAGAGAAUAAAACCUGCAAGCAAGGCAACUGCAAUGAAGCAUCAAGAAAGACAUGAGCAUGCAAGCCACCCUGAGACUGAUAAUUCAUGUGAACACAUUUACAAAGUGGAUGGUGAGCAAAGGUGGUGGCCACGUUUUGGAGCUGCAGCUGGGUUUUGCAGAUGGCUAUGUAUUUUUUGGCUGCUUAUCUUUUUUUCCCCAUUGUUUCUGUUGCCUAAAGAUUCUUUGUGAAGAUAAAUCCAGAGGAUACAACAUAAUGCACUGCAAAAGGUCCUAAGACGGG
ensembl:lncRNA